AGUCACACCUGUCCAAACAAAACUAAAUAAACCAUAAUAUACCUAAGUCCACAGUUGUCCAUACAAAUCUUUUAAACCAUAUCAAAGAAUAUCUAGUCGGGACAUGCCUCCGACCAUAGCCAAAAACAAAUGUCAAGAGAAUAAUAAAAGCAUAAGAUAAACUAUAACAUGAAAUGGAUCUUUCGAAGAAUGGAAGAUCACCACUUUAGUCUGACUUAAGCUGUCCCUGAAUCACCAAGUCACUGAGAA
rnacentral:lncRNA from 1 species